AGAGGGAACCCGGUGAGAAUCCGGGACUGUCCCGCAGCGGUAUGCAGGAACGACCGCCGUCUUAGAAGUUAACAAGCACUGGCCCCGAGGGGCUGGGAAGCGACGGCCACUAGGAGCGCCCCCCGGGCGCGGGCCUGCGAGUCCGAAGACCU
rnacentral:ncRNA from 2 species